CCUACGGGAGGCAGCAGUGAGGAAUAUUGGUCAAUGGGCGCGAGCCUGAACCAGCCAAGUAGCGUGAAGGAUGACGGCCCUACGGGUUGUAAACUUCUUUUAUAAGGGAAUAAAACCUCCCACGUGUGGGAGCUUGUAUGUACUUUAUGAAUAAGCAUCGGCUAACUCCGUGCCAGCAGCCGCGGUAAGACGGAGGAUGCAAGUGUUAUCCGGAAUCACUGGGCGUAAAGCGUCUGUAGGUUGUUUAGUAAGUCUGUUGUUAAAUACCUCGGCUCAACCGAGAUCCAGCAAAGGAAACUUCUAUACUUGAGGUAAGUAGGGGUAAAGGGAAUUUAGAGGUAAAGGGAAUUUCCAGUGGAGCGGUGAAAUGCGUAGAUAAUUUGGAAAGAACACCGAUGGCGAAGGCACUUUACUGGGCUAUUACUGACAAAGGAGUGAUUAGGAUUAGAUACCCUAGUAAUUUUAGCCGUAAACGAUGAAAACUCACUGCCGAGCGAAAUACAACGAGCGGUGGUCAAGCUAACGCGUUAAGUAUCCCGCCUGGGAAGUAUGCUCGCAAGAGUGAAACUCAAAGGAAUUGACGG
rnacentral:rRNA from 1 species